rnacentral:rRNA from 1 species
CCUACGGGGUGCUGCAGUGGGGAAUAUUGGACAAUGGGCGAAAGCCUGAUCCAGCCAUGCCGCGUGUGUGAAGAAGGCCUUCGGGUUGUAAAGCACUUUCAGUGGGGAAGAAAGCCUUGGGGCUAAUACCCUCGAGGAAGGACAUCACCCACAGAAGAAGCACCGGCUAACUCCGUGCCAGCAGCCGCGGUAAUACGGAGGGUGCGAGCGUUAAUCGGAAUUACUGGGCGUAAAGCGCGCGUAGGCGGUCUGAUAAGCCGGUUGUGAAAGCCCCGGGCUCAACCUGGGAACGGCAUCCGGAACUGUCAGGCUAGAGUGCGGGAGAGGAAGGUAGAAUUCCCGGUGUAGCGGUGAAAUGCGUAGAGAUCGGGAGGAAUACCAGUGGCGAAGGCGGCCUUCUGGACUGACACUGACGCUGAGGUGCGAAAGCGUGGGUAGCAAACAGGAUUAGAUACCCCGGUAGUC